rnacentral:misc_RNA from 1 species
AUGACCGACGAUGUGGACACGCACAUUCAUGAGAAAUUCGACUUGCAGAAACGUCUCGGAAAAGGUGCAUAUGGAAUUGUGUGGAAAGCAUACGACAAGAGGUCGAGGGAGACGGUGGCUCUGAAAAAGAUUUUCGACGCUUUCCGAAAUCCGACAGAUUCCCAGAGGACAUUUCGAGAAGUGAUGUUUCUUCAAGAAUUUGGAAAACAUCCAAAUGUUAUAAAGUUGUAUAACAUUUUCCGAGCAGAUAAUGAUAGGUGAGAGAUAUCUACUUAGCAUUUGAGUUCAUGGAAGCUGAUCUACAUAAUGUUAUAAAAAAAGGGUCGAUAUUGAAAGAUGUCCACAAACAGUAUAUCAUGUGCCAGUUGUUCCGAGCAAUUCGAUUUUUGCAUUCUGGGAAUGUGUUACACCGGGAUUUGAAGCCAUCGAAUGUUCUACUGGAUGCAGAUUGUCGUGUAAAACUUGCAGAUUUCGGAUUAGCGAGGAGUCUUUCGUCGCUUGAAGAUUACCCUGAAGGCCAAAAAAUGCCGGAUCUAACAGAAUACGUGGCAACAAGAUGGUACAGAAGUCCGGAAAUUCUCCUGGCAGCCAAAAGAUACACAAAAGGAGUGGAUAUGUGGAGUUUGGGAUGCAUUUUAGCUGAGAUGCUGAUUGGACGUGCUCUGUUUCCGGGAUCUUCGACUAUUAAUCAAAUCGAACGAAUAAUGAAUACAAUCGCAAAACCUUCAAGAGCUGAUAUUGCAAGUAUUGGAAGUCACUAUGCAGCUAGUGUGCUUGAGAAAAUGCCUCAACGGCCGAGAAAACCACUUGAUUUGAUUAUAACUCAAUCACAAACAGCUGCGAUUGAUAUGGUUCAGAGAUUGUUAAUAUUUGCUCCUCAAAAACGAUUAACCGUUGAACAAUGCUUGGUACAUCCAUAUGUGGUACAAUUUCAUAAUCCAUCAGAAGAACCAGUACUCAACUAUGAAGUUUAUCCACCACUUCCGGAUCAUAUUCAAUUGAGUAUUGACGAUUAUCGUGAUCGAUUGUAUGAGAUGAUUGAUGAAAAGAAGGCCAGUUUUAAGAGGAUACAACAUGAAAAGAUCCGACCUUACGGCGAAGAUAAGAGUCGUGCUCCGAUUGCUCAGGCUGAAUGCAGUGAUACUGAUUACGAUACGGCAAGAAGCUUACAAAGAACAACAAGCAUGGAUAAGAAUAAUAGUAGUUCGCAUGAUAGUAGUUCUGGAACUUUAAGAGAGCGAGCCGCUUCAGCUGAAAGUCGAACCUCAAAAGAUAGCAACGGAGAGAUGAGAAAUGGGAAUGGGAAUACUCCAAGUAGUAUCAAGCAACGUCGUCGUUCUGUCGAAAGAGCUCGAUUAUUUGCAAAUAUCAAGCCUUCCAAGAUCCUUCACCCACACAAAUUGAUCUCAAAUUAUUGA